GGAUAUUUCAACUCCUGUGGACCUUAAAACCUAUUUUAACUAGGUUGUCACUUACCAUAUGGUACCUUCUAGUUUUCUUUCCAUUUGUAACAUCUUUCCUUAAUCCAGGAAAAAGUAAAUCUUCUGGUGAGAAUCAGAAAGGUUUGGCUGGAGGAACAGAGACUAGAAGCCAGUAACCCUGGAAUGGCUGUGGCAGAGGGAGGAAUAAGGGACUGAGUUCUAGAACCAGGUGUCAGCUAAAGAUAAGAAAUUGCCUGUGAGAAAACACCUUCCCCUAGACCAGAGCAGAGUGAAUAGUCCCUUACUGGCAACCUGGGGCAUAGGGUUACAGACAUAUAGGGAGAAGCAAAAGAGCAGUGAGAAGCUCAAGAAUAGACUUCUAUGGGCACUGGAGGUGAGCAGCAGCUGAGCAAAUGGCCCCAGGUGGUGUCGGGACCAUCCUGAUGGUGACAUGAGAAAGUACUGGCUUCUUCCAGGUCCUCCCUAUGCACAUUCUGCCAAGGUAGGGAGGUCUGAGAAUGGUAGACUAUCCACAGUGCACAGGUGGAGUCUGUGGAAGGAGCAGAGGGGAGAUUUUUUAAGCUAUUGGAAGAUUUUGGGAACUGAGUAUGGGUGUUUCCAUGAGGACAAAGGAUUCUUCAGGAAACAAGAGAUAAUCAACAACAGAUGACAUCACAGUGAUCUGGGAAUGAGACACCACACGGGACAGAAAGAAACAUUGCAAGAAUAUUCUCCUUGUUUUAAUCCAGAGAAAGAACUUUUUGAGGAGCUGAGCAAUAUCCGGAGAGAGAGAGAGAGAGAUUCCUAUAGAAUACAAGACAAGACUAUCACAAUGUGAUAAGAAGGAGAUUACUGCUGCCCACGGGGAAAAAGGAGAACAGAAAUGGGAAAGCCGUAUUGAGAGGAUGUUUGAGGACUGUGAAAGACAGAAAGCAGACCAGAUUGCCAUGCCUAAACCACUUUCUUUGAAGUUUAAGGAAGCACCACUGCAUUUAUGCCAGAAGGUGAAAGUCCAGAACAGGUUGCAAUACGAAGUGGAGUUAAAGCAACUAGAAGGAAGUGUCAGUAACCAAGCUAAGAGAGGCUGGAAGGAAAACAAUUCAUGCAGCAGAAAAGAAAGCCUUUUGAGCAUUGUGAUGUCAGAAGGUGACUUGGAAGAUGAUCUAAAUGUUAAACUGGCAGUGAAGAGUGCCACAUCAUUGUUAUUCCCCCAAGAUCCUGGAUUCCAGACAGCCCAGUGGAGCACCAUAGAAAGAACUUUCAGGAAGCAGAGAAUGGUUCAGGGAUUCUGAUUUUCCUGAACUUCCUCCUCCCUAUCCACCUCCAAUUAGGAAAAAAGAAGAAAAAAAAGAUUAAACGCGUCCAGAAUGUUAAAAAUCCAGUAGGGAUUUUAAAUGUUCACUAUUACAGCACAUACAUUUAUACACAAGGAGGUCUGAAGGCUUUCUGAUUUCAAUUAAGAUUAUUAUCUCCUUUGAGUGAUGGUUUCUCCUUUUUCCCCCAAAAUUCCCUUUGGCUGAUCUAUUUUAAAAGAGUAUGAGCUAGGGAUAACUAGGCUUAUUUGUAUUGAGUCUACUUUCCCCUCCAGGUCUCUUUGUCUUAAAUUCUGAAGUCCCUUUUCCUAUCCUGCUAAAGGUUAGCAGCUUGAAAUCAAGGACAUGAGUCAUUGUUACUUUUCAUGUGGAAGAUAAGCUCUGUGGCUUUUAUAGCAAAAAGUAUAUACAAUUCUAAAAUUAAAGUGCAAGUCAGAAAGGCCAUUGGGGCUGUGAAAAGUCCUUAUCUAAAUCAGAAGACCAAGGUCAAGUUUGUAUCAUGCCUAUUAGUAGAUGGGUUUCAUUGGUUAAGUUACCAAACCUCUGAGCCUCAGUUUCCUUAUCAAUCAAUCAAAUGAGUGCAAUAAUUCCCGCCCUAUCAUCUGACAAACUAUUGAGAAAUUCUAAUUACAUGCCUAUAAUUUUCAGGUCUUUGUUUUUCAGGUCUUUGUUAAGCAUCAUGCACAUAAACGUUUGUAUUACACUUUCUUUAGCAGUAUUUGAACAUGGUACCUUAUUCAAUGUUCUGAAACAAAUCAUGAAUACUUCCUGGUGUGGUGAUAAUAUCUUCAUAAACUUGUGACACCCGAUGGAAUGUGAGUCGGUUUUGUAAUAGCCUUUAAAAACUUCCCUCAAUACAUAAUAAAGAAUGGUAAAAAAUUUUGGUUGAGGAAACUAAUGAUACAUCCAAAAUAACACAUUCAGUUUUCCAGUGAAGAAUAUUCUCAAAGUAAAAUGAUGUUUAGACUUACUUAAGGGUUCUUAAAACAAGUUAUACAAAGGGAUAGUAUUGAAAUCCAUCUUUGAAUAGAUAUAUACUAGUAAUUAUUUAUGUCGAAGACCCAGGAAAAUACUAUUAAUAGGUGUGAAAUUUAAAUCACACUAAUUAGUACUUUAAAAUAUUAUUCCUUCACAUUAUUUUAAAGAAGCUUUUCCUACAUGUGUGACCUGUUCUGUCAAACACAGCCAUGAAUAUCUAGUAUACUAAAUUGGUCCUAUUCUGACUCCAAUUUUCAAACACUUUUAACAUAGGACUAUAGAGUUCAUAUUUAGAAAGUGUGUGCAUGCCUAUGUGUAUCACUAAUAUGUAGUAUAUGCAUACUAAAUAUGCACAUGGGUAUUUCAAACUCUGUUGGCUUGACUCCAAAUGUUCAGCUAUCGAUGUUAUUCAUGGUAUUUAGAGGUUUUAUUUAUUUAUUUAUUUUUCUUGACUUUCCCACUGGGAGGUGUCUUCUGAUAUUUCAGCCUCUAGCAUCUCAGUCCCAUACAUUCAGCCCUCACUGGGAAGUUUAAUUCCAGGUUACUAAUUUCAGAGCAUCCCAAAGAUGCUGUUUAGCCAGGUAGUGCCUUAAUAUAUCUUAGAAUUAAAAGAAAAUACUUUCUGUCUCUCAGGGCAUUUGAAAGCUCAAACUCUCCUCUUUGAACUUCCCUCUCUCAUUAUAUUGCCAUCACAAAUCUUUGUCCAUCACUAGGUGGUACAACUCCCCCUCCCCUCACCUGCCUCACACACAUAUGACCUACAGUGGAAAACUGAGCUCCAGAUGGUUCAUGGACUUGCCCAAAGUCACCUGUACCAUUGCUGACUUGGAACUUGAAUGUCCAAACCUUCUAAAUCCUCAUCUGCAUUUUUCACAUUAGAGAAUUUUGAUCUCUGACUUCCAACAGUUAUUUCAGGAGAGGAAAAUGCAUGGCUUCACUAUCCAAUGGACUAAAAAAUUGAGUAAGGGAUAGAACAUAUUUUACACACCAACUUGAAAACUUGUCGUAAUGAUGCUCUUCCAGCAUGAAGAAAUUAAAAUUGGCCUUCCUAUUCGUUCUCCUGAAUUGUUCACUGUAACUGAGUGGAGAUAUUUUAGGAGGGUUCUCACUGUGGCUUCUGAAGACCUUUUCAGAAUAAGAUCUUUUUUUCAAAAACACCACACAAAAUACAAUACAAAAAUACAAUACAAAAAUUUUCAAAAAUACAGUAUUAGUUUGAAGCUUGGUAAGUUUUGACUAUUGCCUAUACCUAUGUAACUGCUACCUAAAACAAGAUAUAGAAAUGUUCUAACUUCCCAGAGAGAUUCUUCAUGCCCCUUUCAUUCAGUGUCAUCCCAGACCCCACAAAGGCAAUUCCUUCUGAUGGUAUGUAUGUAUUCUUUAGUGUCUGAUAUUUUUUAGAUUUAUUUAUAUUGUCAUAUGUAUCAGGCCAUUCAUUUUUGUUGUUGAUGAAUAUUUCAUUGUGUGAAUAUGCUGCAAUUUGUUGAUUCAAAUACCUCCUGAUAGUUGUUUUCCGUUUGGGGCUGUUAAGAAUAAGGCUUCCAUAAACUUUCUUGCCUAAGUCUUGCAUGCAUUGAUGUUUUUAUUUCUCUUGUGUACAUAGCUGGGAUUCAAAUUGUUGGCUUAUAGGUUGUAUCUAUGCUUAGUUUAUUUUUUAAAUUGCCAGAGUUUUUGAAGCCUGCCUCUACAAGCAGUGUGUGAGAAGUUUAGCUACUUCAUUACCUCCAAACCAUUUGGUAUUAUCAGUCUUUUUAUUUAUCUCAAUUGGAAAAUAUUAAAUGGCUUUAUAUUAUGGCUUAAACUUGCAUUUACCUAAUAACUGAGUGCCUUAUCUUGAGCUUCUUGUCUAUUCAUGCAUUUUUUUGGUGAUUAUGUGUUUAAGUCUUUUGCCCAUUUAAAAUUGGAUUUUUUUUGUUAUGGCUUUAUAGGAAUACAUCAUGUAUUCUAAAUAUAAUUUAUUUAUCCAAUAUUAUAUAUUGAAAAACUUUUCUUCUUGUCUGUAAUUUGCCAGUUUAUUUUGUUAAUGGUGCUUUUUAAUGAGUGUAUCUUUUUAAUUUUGAUGAAGUCUUAUCCUAUUUGUCUUUUAUGAUUAGUGAUUUUUAUUUGUCUAUUUUUGUCUGACCCAAGAUUAAAAAGGUACUUCCUGUAUUUUCUUCUAGAAGUUUCAUGGUUCCAACUUUCCCAUUUCAGACUCUGUAACAUCUCAAGUUAACUUUUGUGCCUGGAAUGAGUUACAGGUCAAUAAUUAUAUUGUUUAUUUGAGAAUCUAACACCAUUGUUUGAAAAUAAUAUCCUUACCUCAUUCAUUUGACUUGGCACCUGAAUAAGUCAUCUUUAAUACUGGGAAAUGGUAUUGCUGGUCUUUCAUGCAUUUUCUGAGACAUGUAGAUGACUUCAUGGAUACUUAAAAUAUUAUGGGUCUAUCACUGUGCCUUUGCACAUAAACUUUUUUCUGCCCAAGAUGCCAUUCUUCUUAUUGUUUUGUGUUUACUACCCAAAACACAGCUUAGUAGUCUCAGACACCUUCGUUAAUUUUUCCCAUAUGGUGCAACUAAAUGCCUCUGUUGGGCACAGUGAAUUGCUCUAUCAAAAUAUUUGUCUUAUGACUUGCUAAUUUUCUCUUUACUUGACUUUCUCCCCAAGCAGACAGUGAUUUACUUGAAAACAGGUCUGCUUUUUUAUCUCUGUAUCUUUAUUACUCAGCACUGUGACAGGAAAAAAAAAGAUAGCCACUCAAUUUAUGAUUUUUAAUCAAAUUUGAUGGUCCUGAUAUUCCACAGGAGCAAUGUAAGAUAGUAAAAGAAAUCCAUAUACUUUGGAAGGAUAUAAUUUUUAUUUCAAAUAUUGGUUCCGCUACUCACUAGCUGUUUGAAUUGAGGCAAGUUAUUUAAUUUCAAAAUCUUAGUGUAUUAAUCUAUAAUAUGAAGAUGUGUAGAACUUCAUUUGGAAUAUUUACAAUAAAUAAAAGAAAUAGUGUCCAGUACAUACAGUGUAUAGUAGCUGCUAAAUAAAUGGAGUGAGUGUAUUAUUAUUUUAGCAUUAAAAGGGCAAAU
ensembl:lincRNA